rnacentral:rRNA from 1 species
AUUGAACGCUGGCGGCAGGCCUAACACAUGCAAGUCGAACGCGCGGCGCGCGGGUGAGUAAUGUCUGGGAAACAGCCCGUUAGAGGGGGAUAACUACUGGAAAAGAUAGAGAAUACCCCACACCAUCUGAUUUGGCCCGAGGGGAGUAGCUAGUAGGUGGGGGAACGGCUCACCUAGGCGAGGAUCCCUAGCUGGUCUGAGAGGAUGACCAGCCACACUGGAACUGAGACACGGUCCAGACUCCUACGGGAGGCAGCAGUGGGGAAUAUUGCACAAUGGGCGCAAGCCUGAUGCAGCCAUGCCGCGUGUGUGAAGAAGGCCUUCGGGUUGUAAAGCACUUUCAGCGGGGAGGCGUUACCCGCAGAAGAAGCACCGGCUAACUCCGUGCCAGCAGCCGCGGUAAUAC